UCAAAACAUUCCUUUUAUUGAACACAUAGACAACAACAACAAAAAAAGUAGCUGCGUAAAAUCACCUACACAUACAAAAAAAUAAAUAGAAACGAUCAUCAAAUACCAUUCAAUCCCCCAGAACUUAAACAAAAUAGUCUCAACUCUUUACACCGACGAGGAAAAGGUACGAAAAAAAAAGUUAAAUGGCGAACCACACGAGUCGGUUGGUUGCUGUACUAUGGUUAGUCUUCAUCGCAACGCCGCGAGGGACGAACGCUCGCCUGCCCGUCUUCCCGCUGUAUGAAAAUCUCGAAAACGUUGUGAUUUUCGGACCCCAUCUCCCCCCCCGCCUCUCCCUCCCUCGCCCUCCACCAUGGUCUCCAACAAGGUCAUCGCACUCAUCCUCGUCCUGGUGGUGGUGGUCAUCGUCGCUGUAGUGUUGGGGGUGAUCUACGGGACGCCCUGUGAGGGAGAAGACUGCGAUGACUACGACGGACCAUCGUACAGGAGCAAGAAGAUUUGGUCGUCGUCGAGAAGGAGUAAGUCGUCCUCGGGAGGAAGGAAGGGGAGAUAACGUAAAGAAAAGGGUGGUGGACAGAAAACGGAGUUCGGGAGUGAAGAUAAAACGGGAAUUGGGGAUGGAUUGGGUGAUUACAGAAAAUGGGAAUUAUGAAAGACGAAUGAUGAUUGAUAUCGACAACUAAAAAAAAAAAAAAAAAAUUAAACAAACACGUGAUUGAGGUAAUUUUUUUGGUUAAUUUAAGAACAUUAUUUCAACGGUUGGUGUCGAGAGAAGUGGAAAUCACAGAAGAUAAGUGAUAACAGAAAACUGGAAUUCAGAAAGUUGGAUGAAGACAGGAAAUAGAGACGAAAAAAAACGAAAAAAAAAAAAAAAAAACGUACAGUGAAGGGCAUUAAUUAAAAAAAAUAAUAAUGACUUAAAUAAUGAAAUAGACCACGAAAUGGACCACGGUGAAAGUAAAGCUUAUUCUCACCAGGUACAACUUCGGGAAAUAGUAAGCUAAUUAUUGUAGUGUUAAUUAGUAAGACAUCUUUUUAAUGUAGACUGAUACAUAUUUUUCUUGAGUCUGUAGUCUUUGUUAUGCUUCAUUAUAUCAGUAGAUGUUUGAAGUAUGUUUGCAUGUGGACAAAAACAAAGGGUUUUCUAUGUUCUUUCACGUUCUCGUAGAUAUUUUUAAUAUGUCAUUAAGUUAAGUGAACAUUCCAUUGUUGUUGUUUUUUCUUGAAGUCAAAUAUGUAAUCUAGGCCGUUUGAGAGCCAUUCAACACGAAAAGAUAUUAAUACUUAUAUACGUACACAAAUUAUAUCCAAAAACAGUACAUACACUGGAAUUAGAACAGAAAAAAAAUCGUUUGUCUAUUUCGUUAUAAAGAGCAAAUAAAUAUUUUGUAUUUCA